GACAGAGGGUGCAAACGUUGUUCGGAAUUACUGGGCGUAAAGCGCGUGUAGGCGGCAGCGUGCGUCGGGCGUGAAAUCCCACGGCUCAACCGUGGAAGUGCACUCGAAACUGCGCAGCUAGAGUCCUGGAGAGGAAGGUGGAAUGCUUGGUGUAGAGGUGAAAUUCGUAGAUAUCAAGCGGAACACCGGUGGCGAAGGCGACCUUCUGGACAGUGACUGACGCUGAGACGCGAAAGCGUGGGGAGCAAACAGG
rnacentral:rRNA from 1 species